rnacentral:rRNA from 1 species
CCUACGGGAGGCUGCAGUGGGGAAUAUUGGACAAUGGGCGAAAGCCUGAUCCAGCCAUGCCGCGUGUGUGAAGAAGGCCUUCGGGUUGUAAAGCACUUUCAGUGGGGAAGAAAGCCUUGGGGCUAAUACCCUCGAGGAAGGACAUCACCAACAGAAGAAGCACCGGCUAACUCCGUGCCAGCAGCCGCGGUAAUACGGAGGGUGCGAGCGUUAAUCGGAAUUACUGGGCGUAAAGCGCGCGUAGGCGGUCUGAUAAGCCGGUUGUGAAAGCCCCGGGCUCAACCUGGGAACGGCAUCCGGAACUGUCAGGCUAGAGUGCAGGAGAGGAAGGUAGAAUUCCCGGUGUAGCGGUGAAAUGCGUAGAGAUCGGGAGGAAUACCAGUGGCGAAGGCGGCCUUCUGGACUGACACUGACGCUGAGGUGCGAAAGCGUGGGUAGCAAACAGGAUUAGAUACCCGGGUAGUC